UUAAAAAAUUCAUUCAUCAUUUGGUAGAUAUUGAGUUGUUUCCAUUUUGGGCUAUUAAAUAAAGCUGCUGGGAACAUUCAAGUACAGGUUUUUGCAUGGACAUAUAUUUUCACUUCUCAGGGCUGAUAUACUUAGGAGGGGGAUUGCUAGAUCAUAUAGUUUAGUGGUAACAUAAUCAUAUGUUUAACAUUUGGAGGAACUGCCAAGCUGUUUUCCAAAGUGGUUUUACAAUUUUACAAUCCCACUAGCAAUGGAUGAGGGUUUCAAUUUCU